UGUCUAUAUAUUGACUUUUAUUUGCAGGAGCAUUUAAGAGUCUGGCUGUGAUUAAGACCCUAAAUUUUAGGAGAGCAAACUUUCAGUUUUUUAAGGAAGUGUCCACAUAGGAUUCCCUGGAAACUGUCCUCAAGGAUAAUGAAGCUGAACAGAGCUGGCAUCCAUUUAAAGCCAUUUUUCUUAAAGAGUAAGUACAGCCAAAACCUGUUCCCGAGACCUGGGAAACAAAAGCUAAGUCAUGACCACCAAACAGUUGUUUUACACUAAUUAAUUUUAGUUAUCAUGUUGCAUGAGGGCUUUAGUCUUCUCCAGAAUUUCAGCUUGGUCUCAAUGCAUUGAUCUUGGUUUGCACAGAUAACAGCAGACAGUAUUUACUAACAUGCCAACACCUCCUUCUGUAGCCAGCAACUAGUCUCAAGCUGGGCACUAGUGAGCAGCAGUCUGUGAUACUGAGCCACUUACUGUGAAAUGCUUGCAUAGCAAGCACUGCAUAGCAGUGGUAGUUCCAUUUGCUAUAUUUUCCAAAAGAUUGGUUGUCCCUUUCUCCAGCUAACAGAUCCAUAGCUGCGGAAUGGGGAUCCUCUUUCUGCUCAAGGGUUAAUUGAUGUGACAGCUCCAGGAAUGUUUUCCUUGGCACAGCUCCAACACAGCCAAUACUGAUUAGGGCAAUUAGCCCAUUCUGUGGUGCUGAGCUCAUGGCAGCCAGUGGUGCUGCUCAGCCCAGCUGUCAAUACUGGCAUGGCAGGUCUGCAUGGUGCAGGAUGGACCCCACUGCAUGGCUUGCAGUUCACAGCCUGAAAAAAUCCAUUUGGAUGUAGAAUUCUCUUCACCAAGAUGGCAAUGGAUAGUUGGUGCUUGAGACGUGAACCUAAAACUGGCAGAAGUUUUAUGUGUGUGUCCCCACAAUUCCACCAAUUCCAUCAUUCCCACUCAGCAAACCUCUUGGUGCCCAGAUACAGGAUGCUGAGUACAAAUCAAAGAAUUUGUUCCCUUUGAACAUUCAUUAGUAUCUAAGAUGUAUGAAUUAACAAAUUAGAAUCCCAGCCAGCAAGGCUCUGGUAAAUUGUCCCUAAGAAGAGUAGCCAGGGCAUAUUUGGGGUGGCCUAAUGGUGGCCUUCCUGUUUCUGAAGGGAGCAUAUGAGAAAGAAAGAUGGAGAAUGACUGUUUCCAAGGGUCUGGCGUGUCAAGACAAAGGGGGAUGUCUUCCCCCUCCCAGAGGGCAGGGUUAGAUGGGGACAAACUAUCCCAUGUGAGGGUGGUGAGGCCCUGGCACAGGUUUCCUGGAGAAGCUGUCCUGGAGAUGGCUGCCCCAUCCCUGGAAGUGUUCAAGGCCAGACUGGACAGGGCUUGGAGCCAACUGGUCUAGAGGAAUGUGUUGCUGCCUAUGGCAGGGAGGGUGGAACCAGAUGAUCUACAAGCUUUAUGAUUACAAAGUCCCCUUCUAAUCCAAACCAUUCUCUGAUUCUCUGAAUGCAGAUGAGUACUACAAUAAUCAUAAUUUCAAAAUAUUAUGGUGAUCAUCUUCAAAAAUCAACAUUCAAGAGGAAAACAUUCUCAGCACAAUGAUGGUUUGUGCAAUUAUAAUCUCUUCUACAAGGUCAUGAAAUUAAAAUUUAUGUUAAUUACAGCCCAUGGCAAUGAUUAUGCUAACAAACUGUUCCACUAAUUAUAUUUAGGUACUUAGAUUGCAUUAGCCAAGAAGUUUUAUGCAAAGAUUUGAAUAAUGCCUAUAUCUCAUAAAUAAUAAAAAAUAUUAAUGCAGAUAAUACAUGCCUCAACCCACAAUUACAGCAACAUGUUUUAAUUCAGUUGCUUAACACACAAGUUUAAAAACGGAAUUAGAAAACAUAGAUACUAAUCAGUUCUAUGAGAUCCAUACUUGCUUAUCUUUGAACUUUUUUUUCUUUAAAUAAGAUAGGAAUUCAAGAAAUGAAGUGAAAUAUCUUCCUUUUUCGAAAUGAAAGUUUUUUUUCAACAGGUAUUCCAGCUCUUUGAACCUCCCUCUGAUCAAACCAGUAUUGUACAUACUGGUUUUUUACCUUCUGCCCAUGAACCAGGGGAUCCAGUCUGACCCUCGGUGCUGAUCUCCCCUAGUCACUUAGAGACUCUUGAGCCAGCCUUAGGCAUGGCCCAGGUCCUCCACCACACACCCACUCCCGGUGGCUUGGGCCUUGAAAGUAGUCUCUUCUUUGGCCAGCUGAGUAUUACACUUCCUUGUAUAUUUAUUGAGAAAGACAAAUGGAAACUCUUGCACACAGCAGUUACUGCCACAAAAAUUCUUGU
ensembl:lncRNA